rnacentral:tRNA from 1 species
UCCCUGGUGGCUCAGAUGGUAAAGCGUCUGCCUACAAUGCAGGAGACACAGGUUCGAUCCUUGGGUUGGGAA